UUUUUAAAAUGAGAGUUUGAUCCUGGCUCAGGACGAACGUUGGCGGCGUGCCUAAUACAUGCAAGUCGAACGAAGUCGCCCAAUUGAUUCUUAGUGCUUGCACUAAGAUGAUUUUGG
rnacentral:rRNA from 1 species